rnacentral:rRNA from 1 species
UACGUAGGGUGCAAGCGUUAUCCGGAAUCAUUGGGCGUAAAGAGCUCGUAGGCGGUUUGUCGCGUCUGCUGUGAAAACCCGAGGCUCAACCUCGGGCCUGCAGUGGGUACGGGCAGACUAGAGUGCGGUAGGGGAGAUUGGAAUUCCUGGUGUAGCGGUGGAAUGCGCAGAUAUCAGGAGGAACACCGAUGGCGAAGGCAGAUCUCUGGGCCGUAACUGACGCUGAGGAGCGAAAGCAUGGGGAGCGAACAGG